GAUGAACGCUGGCGGCGUGCCUAAUACAUGCAAGUCGAACGCAUAGCGAAAGGUGCUUGCCCCUUUCAAGUGAGUGGCGAACGGGUGAGUAACACGUGGACAACCUGCCUCAAGGCUGGGGAUAACAUUUGGAAACAGAUGCUAAUACCGAAUAAAACUUAGUGUCGCAUGACACAAAGUUAAAAGGCGCUUCGGCGUCACCUAGAGAUGGAUCCGCGGUGCAUUAGUUAGUUGGUGGGGUAAAGGCCUACCAAGACAAUGAUGCAUAGCCGAGUUGAGAGACUGAUCGGCCACAUUGGGACUGAGACACGGCCCAAACUCCUACGGGAGGCUGCAGUAGGGAAUCUUCCACAAAGGGCGAAAGCCUGAUGGAGCAACGCCGCGUGUGUGAUGAAGGCUUUCGGGUCGUAAAGCACUGUUGUAUGGGAAGAACAGCUAGAAUAGGAAAUGAUUUUAGUUUGACGGUACCAUACCAGAAAGGGACGGCUAAAUACGUG
rnacentral:rRNA from 1 species